rnacentral:rRNA from 1 species
UGGUGGGUUGCCUUGUCAGGUUGAUUCCGGUAACGAACGAGACCUCGGCCUGCUAACUAGUCGAGCUCGGGGUUCGCCCCGGUCUCCCGACUUCUUAGAGGGACUGCUGGCGUUCAGCCAGCGGAAGCACGAGGCGAUAACA